rnacentral:rRNA from 1 species
UCGGGGAUACCCUUUUGAAAAGGAAAGGAUUAAUUCCCCGUUAGUUUGGCAUUUCUCCCGGUUUUUGUAUUUAAGAAUUUUCGUUUUUGAGGGGAUGGGUUUCAAUAGUUUGUGGCGGGGUAACGGCCCACCAAGACUUCGAUGGAUAGGGGUUCUGAGAGGGAGGUCCCCCACAUUGGAACUGAGACACGGUCCAAACUCCUACGGGAGGCAGCAGUGAGGAAUAUUGGUCAAUGGACGNGAGUCUGAACCAGCCAAGUAGCGUGAAGGAUGAAGGCUCUAUGGGUCGUAAACUUCUUUUAUACGGGAAUAAAGUGAACCACGUGUGGUUUUUUGUAUGUACCGUAUGAAUAAGGAUCGGCUAACUCCGUGCCAGCAGCCGCGGUAAUACGGAGGAUCCGAGCGUUAUCCGGAUUUAUUGGGUUUAAAGGGAGCGUAGGCGGGUACUUAAGUCAGUUGUGAAAGUUUACGGCUCAACCGUGAAAUUGCAGUUGAUACUGGGUGCCUUGAGUGCAGUAGAAGUAAGCGGAAUUCGUGGUGUAGCGGUGAAAUGCUUAGAUAUCACGAAGAACUCCAAUUGCGAAGGCAGCUUGCUGGACUGUAACUGACGCUGAUGCUCGAAAGUGUGGGUAUCAAACAGGAUUAGAUACCCUGGUAGUCCACACAGUAAACUAUGAAUACUCGCUGUUGGCGAUACACAGUCAGCGGCCAAGCGAAAGCGU